rnacentral:rRNA from 1 species
UACGAAGGGUGCAAGCGUUACUCGGAAUUACUGGGCGUAAAGCGUGCGUAGGUGGUUUGUUAAGUCUGUUGUGAAAGCCCCGGGCUCAACCUGGGAAUGGCAAUGGAUACUGGCAGGCUAGAGUGCGGUAGAGGGUAGUGGAAUUCCCGGUGUAGCGGUGAAAUGCGUAGAGAUCGGGAGGAACACCAGUGGCGAAGGCGGCGACCUGGGCCAAUAUUGACGCUGAGGUGCGAAAGCGUGGGGAGCAAACAGG